GUUGUGAAACCUUGGAUGGACAUGAUGGCCACUGGGAGGGACUACAUGUUCCAGCAAGACUUUGUUCCAGCUCGUAAGGCAAUGAAAAUCCAGCCCUGGCUUUUCAAUAACCUGCCCUACCACUGGUCACCUGACUUGUGGCCUCCAUCUAGCCCAGACUACAACCCUCUUGACUAUGUUCCAUUUGUGUAUAAUGAAUUUUACCAUUGUUGGACUUAAACAGAAUUUUUUUGGAUAAAUUAACUACAUAAGUUGGGGACCUACUGCAUUGAAAAUAUCGAGAAAAUGCACUCAUAAAUUCAAAAGAAGUUAUGAUAUGGUAAAAAUUUCAUUUUGAAAAUAUUUAAAUUAUACACCAUCUAGAAAUGUUAAGUACUAGAAAGUACAUACAUAUUUAUUAAUAUGAUCAGAUACUGACUAGUGAACAAUUCAGGAUUUUUACUAUGGGUAUUGCAACUGCAGCAUCAUCACGGAUAGUAAGGUUGUU
rnacentral:lncRNA from 1 species